GACGAAGGGGGCUAGCGUUGUUCGGAAUUACUGGGCGUAAAGAGCGCGUAGGCGGUUUGGUAAGUUGGAAGUGAAAGCCCGGGGCUUAACCUCGGAAUUGCUUUCAAAACUGCCAGGCUAGAGUGUAGUAGGGGAUGAUGGAAUUCCUAGUGUAGAGGUGAAAUUCUUAGAUAUUAGGAGGAACACCGGGGGCGAAGGCGGUCAUCUGGGCUACAACUGACGCUGAGGCGCGAAAGCGUGGGGAGCAAACAGG
rnacentral:rRNA from 1 species